AGCCGCCGCUCCCGCGGGGGGCGGUGCCUCCGCGCCCGCGCCGCCCUGCGCGCUCCCCGCCGCCGCCGCCGGGGCUGCUCUGCGCGGGGCUGCUCUGCGCGGGGCUCUGCGGGAGAUGUGCGCGGGGCCGCUCUGUGCGGGGCUGUGUGCGAGAUGUGCGCGGGGCCGCUCUGCGCGGAGAUGUGCGCGGGCAGGGCCGGGCCGGGCAGGGCAAGGAGCCCCGCGGGAAGCGGCUGUAGAACGGCGACCGCUCGCCUUUCCCCUUUCCCCCCGCUGAGGCUGUCCCCCCCCCCCCGCAGACCAUCAGUCCGGCCGGCUUUGGGGGAUGAAAACACAGUCCAUGCCACAGACAUGUACGAGAACACAGAAGUGGAACUCCGGCCCCACACAGGACUGAGACACCAGCACUGCCCAAAGCCCACCGGUGCUCCGCGUCUUUGCAGCCAGCCUCAGAGAAGUCACAAUAAUCCUACUGCAUCAUCUGCUGAAGCCCCUAAAGUGCUCCCCCAGGUGCAUUCUAGCAGCCUGGCCUCACAACAGGGAUAGCACAGCCUCCGGCAGGCAGCAGGGUGCAGGACCACCGGCACAGCCAUCCAGCAAACUGUCUCAGCUGACAGGUCAGGGCUUUUGGGAGGACCCUGCCGCAAACAGGCAGCCUGUUGGGGGGCACACGCAGGUGGCACGGCCGACCACGGUCACCCCACCAGGAGCAUCCCACUCAAGUGGGAGCCCCACUUUGCAGUAGCUCCUGGGAAGAUGGAGAGAGUGGCUCCAUGGACGGUGCAACGGCCCGACGCUCUGACAGGCCACGGAGCACCAGCAGCCUGGAGACACCCCAGUCAGGGCAGUCAAUCAUUAACAGCACGUGGGGCUCUCCUGGCAAAGUCCGUAAUAAAUGCGUUUACUCAGGAGCAAAGAGCUCGCAAAGGCCACAGACCAGAUGUGGCACAGAGCAGCUGCUCUUGCUGCCUCCUCCUGCCUGCACCCCGUCUGCCACACUUAGGGUGAUCGACACAACCUUCGCUUCAGCCUUUUCUACAUAAAUGUUUCAGCAUAAUCUCUGAUCAGAUGUAUUCCUUAAAUUCAACGUAAGAAACCAUCCAUCAUCACUGUAAUCUCUUUAUGCAUUCUACUGUAAGUCAGAUAAAAAUAUGUGCAACGUUA